UACAGAGGUCUCAAGCGUUGUUCGGAUUCAUUGGGCGUAAAGGGUGUGUAGGUGGCGCGCUAAGUCGGGUGUGAAAUUUCGGAGCUUAACUCCGAAACUGCAUUCGAUACUGGCGUGCUUGAGGACUGGAGAGGAGACUGGAAUUUACGGUGUAGCAGUGAAAUGCGUAGAUAUCGUAAGGAAGACCAGUGGCGAAGGCGGGUCUCUGGACAGUUCCUGACACUGAGACAGAAGGCCAGGGGAGCAAACGGGG
rnacentral:rRNA from 1 species